AUGUCUCCUAGAGUUCCUCUGAGCACUUCAUUGGGGAUACUAUUUUUCUUUCGAUGAUGAUUACCCACUGAAGUGUUUGGGGGAACUCCCGGACCCAU